rnacentral:tmRNA from 1 species
UGAUAAACGCGCAUGUAAUAAACGGAUCGGACCCGGGGGCGGUACCCGGCGACUCCACCAAAACCCGUUCAUUUGACGGUCAUGGGGUCGAAACAGGAUCGACGGACGUCUAAAGAUGUUAGCUUUUGCCCGGUGAGUUACCACCGUUAUCGGUACAAAUCAGCUAGUUGCAAAUGACAACAAAGCUCCGAUGGCUCUGGCUGCGUAAGCGGUUCGAAACAUCGAAAACCUAAGUCCAGGGUCUUUGCAGAUUCUGGCGGGGUUCGCAGGCACCUGGCAACAGAAGCCUGCACC